AUUUGCAACAUGCUCUUGAAGUGACACAGUAGUCAAGAUACUGGAUGCAUAGAGAAAGACAUUGUGGCCCAUGGAAGCGAACAAUGUUUCCACAGUCACAAUAUUGUAAGUGCUGUUAAUUGACUUGUCAGUUUUUAGAAUCCACUUGCAGAUAAAACAGGGAAGACAAAUAUGUUUUCAGAAGAGGAAUGGAAAUGUAAUGUUCUCAACAAGCAAAGUGGACAGUUGGGAGUUGGAAGUGGGGGGAGGGGAGCACCGAGGGGGCUCUCGGGCUCUUUUAUGGUAAGACGUCCAGAUGCACGGCGUUGGAAGGCCCUUUCGUCUACUUGUCUUUGGUAGGAAACAUUGCAAAUUCUGAUGGCUUGAUUGCUUCUUUAUGGAAAGAAUAUGGCAAAGCCGAUGCAAGGUGGCUUAAUUUUGAUCCAACCAUUGUGUCUGUGGAAAUUCUGACCGCCGUCCUUGAUGGAUUUCUGGCAUUGUUCCUCAUUUAUGCCAUAGUCAAAGAGAAACCUUAUCGGCAUUUCCUGCAGAUCACCCUGUGCGUGUGCGAGCUGUAUGGCGACUGGAUGACCUUCUGCCCAGAGUGGCUUGUUGGGAGCCCCAACCUCAACACCAACAACUGGCUCUACUGCUGGGUCUACCUGGUAUUUUUCAACGGAGUGUGGGUUCUGAUCCCAGCACUGUUGCUGUGGCAGUCGUGGGUGGAACUCAAGAAAAUACAUCAGAAAGGAACCAGUUCAGGGAAAAAGUUUCAGUGAAUUUUCAAAAUCAUAAACACUAUUAUCUUGCUUUAUGAGCCAAAAUGGAUCAAACUUUUUGUUUGGCCAAAAUGUAAUACAUUCCAGUCUACAUUUUCCUUCUAUAUUGCUGUUCCUGAACAACCUACUUCAAAUUGGUUGUAAGGUGGCAGGUUUUCAUUGUUUGUUUUGUUGUCAUUUUUUCCAAGUGAAUGGCAAUCUAGGGAAGAGAACACAUUUUAACUUGUGAUAAUAACACACUGAGUUAUGUUUUUGUGGCUGGCAGUAAUUGUUCUACUUUAGUAAAGCCAAUUAUCAUGCAAUACUGUACAGAGUAUUAUAUUAAUUUUUUACCCUAAAAAACAUGAUGUUGGUUCGUUUUA